rnacentral:lncRNA from 1 species
CUCAUGUGCUGCCACUGACGGUGAGCGCUAUGUAGUAUUUGUUGUGACAUUCAGUAUGGAAAUUGAAACUGCACUUGGGUCUUAUUUGCUGGAUAUGGAAGACUGUGUUACAAUCCAGCCCAGGUUUAUGUGCAAGCAGAAGGGCUAAAUAAGACUGCAAAGCUUGAUGAGUUGGAACCACACAGUAAAAGUCAUGUAUUUGGAGCGAAAUACGUAAGGUUUUCUAGUACUGGGACCACAAAGCUGUGAGUGAUGUAACAGCGGAACCAUUCAGAUGUGUGCUGCUGCCAUAAGGUUGGAAGCAGUGCAAUGAGAGCUGCUCUACUUCCUGUGCUGUGUGUGUGGCACCAUUUUAGAGCAGCUUGAGGCAACAGGAAGGGAAAUAAAGAGGCUGUGUACUGGGAGACCAGUUGUGGUAGGCACAGAAAAGUUCAACAGGAAAGGAGGAGAAAAACAAUAAGGUAUCCUAAAGGCAACGUAUUCCCUGCAGGGAGGGGAGCAGUUGGAAAUGCGGGAAGUUUUCAUAUGUGCAGGCAUUAUGAAGAAUCAGUCUGUGGUAAUCAUCUCCUACCAGUGUAUUUUUAAAUUUUGAAAAUUCCUCAAUCUGUUUUUCUGAAAGUAACCCACCUAUGAUUCUACUGAGAAACUACGUGUAUACAAAAUGUACCUAACAUUUGUGGCUUGCAGUUAAACCAUACACGCGUGCUUCUAACAUAACCUGCAGCAAAUAAAAUUGCUUCUUCCUGUUUCAGUCUUCACCUCUUUCCUCUGCCUACUGUGCAGUGCAGCUUCUCUGUUUUUUCUGUUGCAGCUUUUUCCUUCUCGUAAUAAUCUGUGCCCUAUCUGUGCUAUACCUGUGGGAGUAUUCACUCCUUGCUUUCCUCUCGUGCUUCUGCACCUUACAAUGGGUUCCAAUUGUAUGAGAAUUCUUCCUUAG